rnacentral:tRNA from 2 species
GGAGAGAUGGCUGAGCUGGUCGAAGGCGCCGCACUCGAAAUGCGGUAGGUCCGAAAGGGUCUCGAGGGUUCGAAUCCCUCUCUCUCCGCCA